UACGGAGGGUGCAAGCGUUAUCCGGAUUCACUGGGUUUAAAGGGAGCGUAGGUGGCUUUGUAAGUCAGUGGUGAAAUAUUGCGGCUCAACCGCAAAACUGCCAUUGAUACUGCUUAGCUUGAAUCACGUCGAGGUGGAUGGAAUAAUACAUGUAGCGGUGAAAUGCUUAGAUAUGUAUUAGAACACCGAUUGCGAAGGCAGUUCACUAGGCGUGUAUUGACACUGAGGCUCGAAAGCGUGGGGAUCAAACCGG
rnacentral:rRNA from 1 species